rnacentral:rRNA from 1 species
AUUGAACGCUGGCGGCAUGCCUUACACAUGCAAGUCGAACGGUAACAGGUCUUCGGAUGCUGACGAGUGGCGAACGGGUGAGUAAUACAUCGGAACGUGCCCGAUCGUGGGGGAUAACGGAGCGAAAGCUUUGCUAAUACCGCAUACGAUCUACGGAUGAAAGCAGGGGACCGCAAGGCCUUGCGCGGACGGAGCGGCCGAUGGCAGAUUAGGUAGUUGGUGGGAUAAAAGCUUACCAAGCCGACGAUCUGUAGCUGGUCUGAGAGGACGACCAGCCACACUGGGACUGAGACACGGCCCAGACUCCUACGGGAGGCAGCAGUGGGGAAUUUUGGACAAUGGGCGAAAGCCUGAUUCAGCCAUGCCGCGUGCAGGAUGAAGGCCUUCGGGUUGUAAACUGCUUUUGUACGGAACGAAAAGACUCCUUCUAAUAAAGGGGGUCCAUGACGGUACCGUAAGAAUAAGCACCGGCUAACUACGUGCCAGCCGCCGCGGUAACAC